GCAUUCUCAUUGUACUGAUCUUAGGGAAUCUCACACCACAUUGCCUUUAGAAAGCUAGUGCUGUUGACUGACUGGAAUGUCCAAAGAUGCCUCUUCCCAGCUAAUGCCUUCAAAUGUAGGUUUGCUCUGCUUCAUGUAGAUACUUCAGCAUAAAGAUAAGCAGGAAACUGGGCAGUUCAGCUCCUUCACAUGCCCACCAUCACUGCUCCUUGCCAGAAUACGAGGCUGUGUGUGGAUCUGACGCGGGGCCAGGACUUCAAUAUCUGAAGCAGAGCAGUGACAGAGGAACUGCCACUUCACAGCUCAUCAGCUACAGUCGCACAAAGAGAACGACCCUGGUUUCAGGGCUCUGGUUAAGAGAGAAGAUCAUUUGAAUCAAAGUGCAGGUCUUGCUAUAACACAAGCCCAGGAAAAGCUCGUUUGUGAAGGAUCCACUCCCAUGAGACACCUGCUUCAAAACCACUGCGGUAC
rnacentral:lncRNA from 1 species